rnacentral:rRNA from 1 species
UACGAAGGAUCCAAGCGUUGUCCGGAUUUACUGGGUUUAAAGGGUGCGUAGGCGGACUUUUAAGUCAGUUGUGAAAUCUCGCAGCUUAACUGUGAAAUUGCCAUUGAAACUGAAAGUCUCGAGUGUGGUUGAGGUAACUGGAAUAUAUCAUGUAGCGGUGAAAUGCUUAGAUAUGAUAUAGAACACCAAUUGCGAAGGCAGGUUACUGAGCCACAACUGACGCUGAGGCACGAAAGCGUGGGGAGCAAACAGG